CCUUGGUCCUGCUGUAUAUAUCCCACGAGCUUCGUUCCUCUAUAAAACCCUAGCCUCAAGCAUCAAAUCCCAAGCGCCGCUCCUUAUUCUGUAGGUCAUGGUCAAGGCGUUGCGUUCGUCGGUGGGUUUAAAUCCAGAAGGACGCGUCAACGAAAGCGUAAAUCAAAGCCAGAUCCGACCAUUUUUCCUUUACAUAACAAACAGCUACGCAUCGUUUGGUUGGUCGUAGUUUGUUUCAUGGUCGGGUUCUGACAUUUUAUGUUUGAAGCAAUUGUUUAUUAGUAUUAUUUGUGUUUGGAGGGCGUUGCUUCUUUAUGGUGAACUCUCCCUUGUUUCAAAAUGGGGGAUGUUCAAGUUUCCGAAGCAUAGAUUAAUGUCUUUGCCAGUAUUAAACAGCGCUGUGUAUUCUUUUUGUUGUUACACUGUGCUACCUGUCUCCUGGUAAAUUUUCCAUCUCAUUUUUCUUUUGAUCGGAAUCUCUCUGUUGGGUUUUAAUCGGAUGUUGUAGAAUUUUUAAAUGGUCAGGUCUUUUCUUCCCUUGUGAUUUUUGUGUCGAUAUUUUAACAUAUUUUCAUGAAUCUUUUUGAU